rnacentral:rRNA from 1 species
CCUACGGGAGACUGCAGUGGGGGAUAUUGCACAAUGGGGGAAACCCUGAUGCAGCGACGCCGCGUGUGGGAAGACGGUCCUCUGGAUUGUAAACCACUGUCCCCAGGGACGAAGAUGACGGUACCGGGGGAGGAAGCGCCGGCUAACUACGUGCCAGCAGCCGCGGGAAGACGUAGGGAGCGAGCGUGGUCCGGAAGUACGGGGUGUAAGGGGAGCGUAGGCGGGGCUGCAAGUUGGGGGUCAAAACUACCGGCUCAACUGGUAGUCGCACUCAAAACUGCAGCUCUUGAGUGAAGUAGAGGCAGGCGGACUUCCUCGUGUCGCGGUGACAUGCGUAGAUAUUAGGCG